GCUGGCGGCACGCUUAACACAUGCAAGUCGAACGGGAUCUUCGGAUCUAGUGGCAGACGGGUGAGUAACGCGUGGGAACCUGCCCUGUAGUAGAGAACAACUCGAGGAAACUUGAGCUAAUACUUUAUACGCCCUUUGGGGGAAAGCUUUAUGCGCUAUUGGAUGGGCCCGCGUUAGAUUAGUUUGUUGGUGAGGUAACGGCUCACCAAGACUUCGAUCUAUAGCUGGUCUGAGAGGAUGAUCAGCCACACUGGGACUGAGACACGGCCCAGACUCCUACGGGAGGCAGCAGUGGGGAAUAUUGGACAAUGGGGGCAACCCUGAUCCAGCGAUGCCGCGUGAGUGAUGAAGGCCUUAGGGUUGUAAAGCUCUUUCGUUAGGGAAGAUAAUGACGGUACCUAAAGAAGAAGAUCCGGCUAACUCCGUGCCAGCAGCCGCGGUAAUACGGAGGGAUCUAGCGUUAUUCGGAAUUACUGGGCGUAAAGCGAGCGUAGGCGGAUUUGUAAGUUGGAGGUGAAAUCCCAGAGCUUAACUCUGGAACUGCCUUCAAAACUACAUUUCUUGAGUUUGGUAGAGGAGAGUGGAAUUCCUAGUGUAGAGGUGAAAUUCGUAGAUAUUAGGAGGAACACCAGUGGCGAAGGCGACUCUCUGGGCCAAUACUGACGCUGAGGUUCGAAAGCAUGGGUAGCGAACAGGAUUAGAUACCCUGGUAGUCCAUGCAGUAAACGAUGAGUGCUAGAUGUUGGAAACGUUAGUUUUCAGUAUCGCAGUUAACGCGUUAAGCACUCCGCCU
rnacentral:rRNA from 1 species